rnacentral:snoRNA from 9 species
UGGGCAUCGGUGAUGAGUUGAUACAAAAAUCGUUAUCCUUGCACUUUGAUUUGCAGUGAAGAAAACUACGGGGUUUUAUGUCUCUGAGAUGCUC